ensembl:lncRNA
CCAGUUGUUCAUUGCAGCUCUUGCCUGAGCUGGCAACCACUCAGGGUAGAUUCAAGAUCCCUCUAAAACGGUUGUCUCUCCCUCUUGUGGUGGUUUGCAUUCAAAGCCCAGUGAGAGAACGCUUGUAGUUGUCCAUAGUGAAUGUUUAUGUAAUAUACAGUUAAAUGCAAAAGAUGACAGCAAUUACAUUAAAAAAAAAAUCGUUAUCUAUUUAUUGAUUGUAACUAUAUCUGGUUGGAAAAAUAAUACCUUCUAUUAGGUUCUAUAGAACUGUACUUUUAUUUGGUUAUCAAUUAUAUUUUAUAACCAUCUAUAUAAAAUAUACUGUGUUCUGGCAUAAAUUACAAAAAACAUUUGCAGAUGAGUCUGCGCAAGGCCAAUGAAGAACAUUAAUCCUGAUUGAGAGCAUUGCAGCCUGUCAGCUGUGAUAUUGAGUUGUUGUGUUUUACUGUUGUAAAAUUGUGUGUUAUUGUUUUUAUACUUCAGUGUUAGGUUUCCCUUUUGACAGAGAUGUUAUUCUCUGUUUCCUGCCCAGGGACUACAGAUGAAAAUGAGCUUAUAGUUAACUCUGGUACUGCUAAUGAGCUGUGCAUUGUCCCUGCUAAAUAAACAAAUAAUUAAAAAAAAACACACAGUGUCCAGCCAUUGCAAGCACUGGGCAGAGACGUGCAGAACAGAUCGCCUUAGUCAAGGAAAGGAAAUGUGGCCUCAACCAAUUAUUUUCCUGGCAGCAUAGAAAAAGCAGGAUUUAUUUCUAGAAAAAAAAACAAGCUUAAGUACAAUUACAGUUUCUUUACUACGUUUUCAAUGUGAAGUUUAAAAGUUAAACGAUCAUCGAUUAAGAAAACUGGAUACGGUACUGUGACACUAUCUGACUGCCCUUCAAAGUUUGAAUGUUAGGAAGAGAAGCUAAUGUUUGCCUGGUAUUAGAAAACAACAACAAUUUAGUUUUUGCAGCAAUCUACACCAGUGUCAGAUCAAACAACCAGACUGUAAGUGCUCAUGUCCAAGGGUGGCACCACAACAGUUAAUCAAAAGUAUUGCCGUUAUAAAAAUGAAACUGUGCCUAACAAACAUUUUGACCCAGUUGUGGGACCCAAAGACUGGAGGAAGUGCCUUGAAAUGCAUUUUAUUUUUAUUUCCCCCUAUUUUUUUUCACCCUGAUUUUACUUUCAAACCAUGAUUUAUUUGUCAACGUGCAUUAAGUUUUUCACAUCACAUAUAUCUUAGUUUUUUUUCCAUUCUAUGCAGUUCCCUUAAGGGGCUCCGUAAAUUCUUUCCUACCUUGAACAAUAACCAAGGAGUUGGAGGGCGCCGGCUUUCUCCGAUAGUUUUUGAAUUGAGAAUUGCCUGCAAACGUGCCAGUUUUUCACGUUUUGUAUUUGAAUAGAUUAGAAUAUUAGAAUAUAUUAGAAUAGAGUAAUUACACAAUUUGACUAUUUUUAACAGUCAAGACAAUUUUAAUAGUGAAUUAUUGAAUCAUAAUUUAAUAGGCUUAAUCUUUUGCAUUACAUUUUCCAUAACACCAACAUUUAUUUGUAUUAUCGUACUGCUGAAUAAUAAUAUUAUAAUUAUAAUAAAAACAUUUUUUUUAUAUAAUUAAACACCUUUCAUAAGAAAUGGAAGUACAUUUUUAUGAAUUAUGGUCCAUAUCAGAACAUGACUUAUCCAUUUUUUAUUUAUAAAACGUUAUGCCGGCUAUACAUACACAAAACUGACUCCUGUGGAAAAUAAAUGUGCAUCAGAUAUUUUAGAUGUACUAUUUAAGUUACAGCCUUCAUACUUCAGGCAAUCCCUCAUCAUGACGUAAAGCAUAUAUUGAGGAAAUACUAAGAUGCAGUCUUGAUUGCGUCACAUAUACCAAAAUAGACCAGUAAUAGGGAUCCCUUUUCCUUUUAUAAUUUCAUUACUACCCGGAGUGCCACGCUAUACUUGAGUGCCGUUUCAGAUGGACAGGAUAUGCUGGGAUGUGAGGAAGACGAGGAGGAGGGUGAGGAGGCAGAAGAUGUCUGGCUUUGUGCCAUCACCACCGGAAGCUGAAACAGAGACGUGCAGAUGUUAAAGAAACAGACCAUCAGGGUAGGCUUAUCAACCAGCCUUUCAUCCAUUCACAUCAAUCACAUUACUUACCUGUAGUGGUGGUGGUAGUGGUGGUUGUCGUGGUGGUUGUCGUGGUUCCACCCGCUGGGGCUACUGUGGUUCCAGCAACUGGAGUACCAGCAGCUGUGGUAGGACCAGCUGUGGCUCCAGCAGCUGUUGUUGGACCUGCUGUGGCCCCAGCAGCUGUGCUUCCACCAGCUGUGGCUCCAGCAGCUGUGCUUCCACCUGCUGUGGCUCCAGCAGCUGUGCUUCCACCUGCUGUGGCUCCAGCAGCUGUGCUUCCACCUGCUGUGGUUGCAGCAGGCGUGGCUCCACUGGCUGCUGUUGCAGAAGCUGUGGUUCCACCGGCUGUGGCUCCAGCAGCUGUGCUUCCACCAGCUGUGGUUCCACCUGCUGUGGUUCCACUGGCUGUGGUUCCAGUAGCUGUUGUUCCACCGGCUGUGGUUGCAGCUGUGGUUCCGCUGGCAGUGGUUCCACCGGCAGUGGUUCCACCGGCAGUGGUUCCACUGGCUGUGGUUCCACCGGCAGUGGUUCCCCCGGCAGUGGUUGCAGCAGGCGUGGUCGUUGAUGCCACGGCACGACCUGUGAGUCCCGAAACAAGGCCAUCGAGGUCUGUCUGUGACUGCCGACUAGCCCAGUCUUGGACCACAGGGUCGUCCUUAUAGGCAGUUAAGUCGUCGGUGUUGGAUCCCAGGAGACCUCUGACCUGGGGCACAGUCAGGCUCUGCAGACAGAAUAGUGCAACCAUGUUCACGCACACAGACAUAAAAGACGCGAUACGAACGACAGCGACUAUAGACCUUAUAAGUCUGUUAGUGAGUUUACUCUUGCGUGAUUUGGUUUGACCACACGUCACUUACCGGGACAACUUCCGGGUCCAGGCUGGUAAAAGUAGGUAGGUCCAUGUUAACACCGGAAUCAGCCAAACGGUUGAUGUAGCUCGAAUCAGCACCACCUGUGAGCCAGAAAUGACGGCGGCAAAUUGUAUGACCUAUUGUAUCGGCUUACUUUCGUGGUGUGCUCCCUCUUAAUUGGGUGCGAAGUGCGUGUUUGUGGAGGUUAACGCACCCAAAUAGGACGUGAUGAGCUGGAACUCGGUAAUUGGUACCAUUACAGCCCGGGUCGCGCUGAAGGCUACCUGCGCAAUGGUAAACAGCGCUCUCUUGUUCUCUAUGCUGCAGUUGGUGAUCGUCAGCUCGUUGGCAUUUCUGCAACAGGAGAAAACAAGAAUAAAAAACUAACGGUUUCACUUAACAUUCCAACCUCAAAAUAUGUUUUUGUACAUUGACAAAAUAAUUGUUUCUAAAGGAAACCUAAAGUAUUUGAUUCAUUGUGCUGGUAUGUGAUUGACGAGAUGCC